GAAUUUUGGACAAAGAGCGAAAACCUGAUCCAGCAAUGCUGCGUGCAGUAUGAAAGACUUCGGGUUGUAAACUGCUUAUGCACGGAACGAAAAACUUUGGUCUAAUACCCCGGAAUCAUGCCGCUACCGUAGGAAUACGAACCAGCUCACUACCGGCCAGCAGCCGCGGUAAUACGUAGGGUGCAAGCGUUAAUCGGAAUUACUGGGCGUAAAGCGGGCGCAGGCGGUUUCGUAAGACAGAGGUGAAAUCCCCGGGCUCAACGUGGGAACUGCCUUUGUGACUGCAAGGCUAGAGUACGGCAGAGGGGGGUGGAAUUCCGCGUGUAGCAGUGAAAUGCGUAGAUAUGCGGAGGAACACCGAUGGCGAAGGCAACCCCCUGGGCCUGUACUGACGCUCAUGCACGAAAGCGUGGGGAGCAAAC
rnacentral:rRNA from 1 species